AGAGUUUGAUUCUGGCUCAGAANNNNCGCUGGCGGCGUGGAUAAGACAUGCAAGUCGAGCGGGAUUUUUUCCUGUAGCAAUACAGGGAAAAGUCUAGCGGCGAACGGGUGCUUAACACGUGGGCAACCUGCCAAGAAGUGGGGGAUAGCUCGCCGAAAGGCGAAUUAAUACCGCAUGUGAUCAGAGUGGACAUCCAUUCAAAAUCAAAGUCGGGGCAACCUGACGCUUCUUGAGGGGCCCGCGGCCUAUCAGCUAGUUGGUGGGGUAACGGCCCACCAAGGCUUAGACGGGUAGCUGGUCUGAGAGGACGACCAGCCACACUGGGACUGAGACACGGCCCAGACACCUACGGGUGGCAGCAGUCGAGAAUUUUUCUCAAUGGGGGAAACCCUGAAGGAGCGACGCCGCGUGGAGGAUGAAGGUCUUCGGAUUGUAAACUCCUGUCAUUGGGGAACAAUGCGCAAAUAUUAACUGUAUUUGCGUUGAUAGUACCCGAAGAGGAAGAGACGGCUAACUCUGUGCCAGCAGCCGCGGUAAUACAGAGGUCUCAAGCGUUGUUCGGAUUCAUUGGGCGUAAAGGGUGCGUAGGCGGCGCGGUAAGUCGGGUGUGAAAUCUCGGAGCUUAACUCCGAAACUGCAUUCGAUACUGCCGUGCUUGAGGACUGGAGAGGAGACUGGAAUUUACGGUGUAGCGGUGAAAUGCGUAGAUAUCGUAAGGAAGACCAGUGGCGNNNGCGGGUCUCUGGACAGUUCCUGACGCUG
rnacentral:rRNA from 1 species